AACGAACGCUGGCGGCAUGCCUAACACAUGCAAGUCGAACGAGACCUCCGGGUCUAGUGGCGCACGCGUGCGUAACGCGUGGGAACCUUCCGUUAUGCUCCGAAUAAUACAGUUAAAUUUGAGCUAACACCGGAUGAUUUCCGCGGAUCAAAGAUUUAACCUCUUGGGAUGGGCCGGGGUUGUUUGGGCCAGGUGGGGGGGUAAGAGCCUACGAAGGCGACGAUCCAUAGCUGGUUUGAGAGGAUGAUCAGCCACCCUGGGACUGAGACACGGCCCAGAAUACUACGGAAGGCAGCAGUGGGGAAUAUUGGAAAAUGGGCGAAAGCCUGAUCCAGCAAUGCCGCGUGAGUGAUGAAGGCCUUAGGGUUGUAAAGCUCUUUUACCCGAGAUGAUAAUGACAGUACCGGGAGAAUAAGCACCGGCUAACUCCGUG
rnacentral:rRNA from 1 species